CCUCCGACAAUAACAACAACUUCAGAGGCGACUUUCCAGCCUUCUCCAUGCAGAUCGAACUCUCAAUAAUACCCGUAAUAGGCCUUCGAGGCUCUUUCAGUCAGUUGUUGCUACUUCAGAUGUAGAGUUUGUUUUAUACACUCGGGGCUCUGUUUGUAGCGUCUUACAGGAUUAGCAGUUCAGAUGUCACUCGUGCACCUCUGUUGGAAAAAGUGAACAUGCGGGCAGAGAGGCAGGUAGAGCAAGAGAGCUUAAGUCACUGAAAACUUACAGAAAAUUCCAGAAAAAUCCAGGUUCUGGCUGAGACCAACUGCGUGUAGUAAUCCUGUAAGUGAUGCCCAAAAGAAAUGAUGUAUAUUUUCAAUAUUUCACUUUUCUGUUUAUCAGUGGGCAAGGAUAGAUUGCCGUGAAGCGCAUUCAGUGGACAGGUUAUUGACUCUGACUGAGAUCGCUCCAUGUCAAAAUUUUACUUAACCUGUUUAUACUUAAUCACUUUCUUGGAUGCAUCUGUACCACGGCACCAAAAAAACCUAAGAGGAAAAGCUAUUUCCUGAAGUUUGGGACAAUCUACUAUCACUGAGGAAUUCAAAAAUGCAUUUGGCCUCUCAGUAAGACCUAGAGUCAGAUACCCUAGGCAUCUGAAGAUCACAGUCAAAUAAGCUGCAAAAUCAGUUAUAACUGCAACUCUUUCCUUCUGAAGAAAGACUAAAUGAUGUCUAAUUUAUAAAGUUUCGUUCAAUAUCGAGUAUCUUUGAUGGUCAUCUGCAAUGAAUUAAACAUAAAAAGAGUUACAAAAUGCAUUUGUUAUAUUUUGGUAAAGAUUUGAUAACAAUGAGCAAAACAUUGUUUGUCUUUGCAUUAAGCAUUCAAAAGCGGCUAAAAGUUGACAUAAAUAUGAACAGGUUUGUACCAGUUAGUAGUAACUUUAUAAAUCAGUCACCUUUAAAAAAGUGAACAAUUACGCAUAAUUAAUAAUUAAUGUUGAUAGAAAUGAGAAUUGGUUUUAUUCCAAUGAUAGUUAUUGCAUCCACUAAAACAAAUUCUCUCAUACACUGAAAAAAAAAUCAGUUUAAUUCACGUAAGUUUUGCAAGCUGUGCUGUUUCACUCAAAUCACAUUGAAGACAAAAUUUAUUGUCAAAUUUGAAAGUAGGCAUUGAUUGUAUUGUGGGUCUACA